UGUGACUAAAUCCAGCUAAUGGAUUGAAAAAAAGAAUAAGGUUUCAAAAAAAAAAAAAAGAAAGAUAUUCCUGCAUGUUUUCUAGUAACUAGGGUGGUGUCAUAUAAUAUUCUACUAAAAACUCAUGUGAACAGUCAUUUAACUCAGGACCACUAUGGUUAAUUAUAAAGUAAAAUAUUGACUAGCAUAAUGCAUUUUAGAUUAAAACUUUAUAACAAAUUUUUAUUAUCAAAUACUACUUGUUGAGUAUUUAUAAUGGGUCAGAUAAUGGAAUAAACAUUUUAAAUGUAAAAGAUUGUUAAUACAAAGAUGUAAAUGGAAGAGCUUGUGGGUGAGAAUAAAAAUGGUACAGUCCUCUCAGAAGGGCCAUUUGUUGGUGUUAUCAGCAUCCUAAAUGCAUGUGUCCUGUAAUGGCUCACCUCUUCCUUGUUGCUUUACUAGAACUACAUUCUAUCUAUGCUGUAGAAAUAUUACCAUAUACACAUAAGGCUGUAUAUGGUAAUUGUAAGAUUGUUUGUAAUAAAUAAAAAUCAAAAGCAACCUAAAUGUCAAUUAAUAGGAAAACUGUUAUGUAUGUUUUGGAAAUGCCAUACAUUUCCAAAAUAUCAUAUGGAUAUGAUAUGGAAUAUCAUAGAACGAUUUUGAAAUGUGAGACAGAUCUCUAAGGACUGAUGCGGAAAAAUGUUCAUGGCCAACUUUUUAAGUUUAAAAAACACACCCUUAUUUUUGAAGUGUAUGUAGAGCAUAUUCCUAUGUUUUUGUUAAAGAAACCCUCAUAUAUAUAUAUAUAUAUAUAUAUAUAUAUAUAUAUAUAUAUAUAUAAAAUUAAAUCUGUAAGUGCAUGUAAGUCAUGUAUUAUGAACUGAGUGAAUAUUUGUGUCUCUCCAAAAUUUAUAUGUUGAAGACCUAACCCCCUUUGGGAGAUAAUUAGGGUUAGAUGAGAUCAUGAGGAUGGAGUCCCUUGAUGGGAUUAGGGCCCCUAUAAGAAAAGGAUGAGACUAGAGCUCUCUCUUUCUAUCAUAUGAGGGAAGCAAGAAGGCAGCCUUCUGCAAGCCAGGAAGAGAGCCUUUAUCAGAAUUCAACCAUGCUGGCACCCUGCCUUCAGAACUGUGAGAAAUAAAUGAGUGUUGUUUAAGCUACCCAGUCUAUAGUUUUUUUUAAUAGCAACCUGAGCUGAUGAAGACAAUAUAGGAUUCCGGAUAGACUCUAUUGCAUGACUAUCUGUAAGAUGAGGUGGGAAGAGGGAGAAAUUCUCCCUUUUCCAGCAUACACUUCUUUAUUGUUUGAAUAUUUGUCAAGUACACAUUACUUUUAUAGUUGAAGAUUGGGAGGAGGGAAGGAGGGGAGGAAAGAAGGAAGGAAGAAAGGAAGAAAGAAAAAAGGAAAACUACCACUCUGAAGGCCCAAAGUCCACAUUGCUUUUUCAUGAAUUAUUCUGUUUACCAUUUGCAGAAUAUUAAGUUACCAAUUCUAAAGCCACUUCCUCCUUGGAUGACCUUAAGGGGAAAAAAGAAAAAAGAUACCCUCACAUCCUCAGCUCCUCCUAUAAAAUAAAUGGGCUUUACAGAAGAGACUAUUAUGUUUUGUGAAGUAUUUUCAAAUAUAUCGUUGAAGGAAACUUAAACAGAAUAUUAAGUUGGAAUUGGAUUGCAUUCCCCUUUGAAGGAUUAGGUUCUAAAGUCAUGCCUUUCCUGUCUACUAUGUCCUUUUUUGUUUUCUUCUACAUUAGAACCUAGUUGGAGUCCUCUAACGUGCUUAUUUUUCUAUUAAGCAGAGCCAUCAGAGUUCACCUGUUCCCUAUUGUCUCAAAGUGUUUGCCCUUCAUUUUUCCUUUAGACUAUAUAUAGACUGUUUAAUUUUGGUUUGGAUCUUUAGAGAAAUUCCAAGAGACACUCUUGGUUCUAAAACAUAUAGAGAGGCUGGGUCUUCAGAAGUUUUCUCGUGGUUUUGGUGAAGGCUAUAAAUGAAUGAUUUAUUUAUAGAUAAAUAAAUCCAUCCAAGAUGGUUUGCAGAUUGAUCACAUGAAAAGUUGAAAGAAAGAAAAACAAAUCACAAUAUCAGACCUUAACUAACUCAAGUCCACAAAUUGCAAUUUUGAGGGGAUCGUGUAUAAAAAUCUCUUUUAAGCAAAAUUGCUCAAGUAAUUCUUGUGUAUCUUACUGAAGACUAAUAGUUGGAAAUAAAUUAUCUGGUAUUGAUCACAAAAGCCCAUGAAUGAGACCACAAAGGCAAAUAUUUCUGACUUUCUGGUGAAGCUCAUAUUGGCAUGCAAGCUUUGUCCAUAAAAUGUGUCCCUUGCUUAUGAUAGGAUGUAGGGGUUAUGAGUAAGACAAAUGCCAGAUGUGGGGAAGGAUGUUCAAGUGUUGCAAUGGGAGAGAAAGUUUUGGCUUAAGAAAAUCUAUAGAGUACCCUUCUCUCAAACAGAGGUACCAAUAUUAUCUGUUCUCAUACUUUGGUGAGCAUCAUAAGACUAAUCACAUUUUAUAAAUUCUGUGAGUCAGAUGUGCCCCUUUCUUUGGGCUCUCAGAGAUCUCAGGCUGUUGCAGGGAUUUCUGUUAGUGGUUUUGAACAGCUCUUAAACAAAAAUCAGGUUCCCUGAUUCUAAGUAAUUUUUAUCUGUAAUGGAUUAUUAGAGCUACAAAGAAAUGCUCAACAAAACCUCCUAUCCUUAGGGAUUUACAAAUAGUGGAAGUGGUAUAAGAUGGUGAAUGUCAGAAAAAGAAAUUGUGGUUUAUUUAUUACAGUAAACCUCAAAUUCAUUUUCAGUUAUCAAAAAACUACAGAGGAAGAGUCUAUGUCAUAUAAACAGAUAUUUAUUUUUCUAUUUUAAAAAGUUGUUUUAGGGAAAAUUCCAAACAUACUCAAAAGUUGAGAGAAUAAUGCCAUGAAGUUGAGUACCUGUUACCCAACUUCAUUAAUUAACAACACUCUGUCAUUUGUUUCCAUUUUUGCCCAAUUUUUUUUUUUGGAGUAUUUUAAGGAAACCCCAACAUAAUAUUGCCUUACCCAUAAAUAUUUCACUGUAAAAAAGACAUUGAAAACAAAGAUUAACCAAAAAAUAUGACUGUAUAUACAUAACAAAGUUUCAUCUACUGACUUAUUAUUUGAAACCUCAAAUUGUUUUAUAUUUUAUAUGUUGCCUCUACUUUAAAGUGAACAACAUAAGAUUAUCAUAAGAACCAUUAAUAAAAUAAGCUCUAAGAUAAUUUGUAAACUAAUAGAUGUUAAAGCCUCUUAAAAAGCAAAAUUAUACUCUAUAAAUGUUUACUUUUUAAACAGUUGUUUGUUUUUAAAAAAAUAAUACAGUCAUGACACAACAUACACAUUUUUAAAUUACUGCUGUUCAUUAGCCAAGAAAUAGUCAAGAACAUUCAAAAUAAUUUUAAAUAUUUGCUUAUACUAUCCAUAAUCAAGAAAAAUAUAGAGUUAUCCAUAAGAUAAUUACAUUCAUUUAUUUUUUGUAAUUCUCUUACCCAGUAAAGUCCUCAAAAAUAUGAAAGGUGCUUAUUGGGUUUCAUCCACUGAAUUGUAGUUCUAAUUAAUAAUGCAUUAACAAUCAGUUCAGUACUGAAAACUCUGUUUCAAAGUAGAUGCUGACUAUUGUGUUUCUCAUUCAUCUACUCAUUUAGUUUAGAGAAGACUGACAGACUCAGCAACCCACUUGCAAAUAUUGGUACUUUCUUGUUUUUUCCCAUACUUAAAUGCAGUUCUCAAAUGCUGACUUGUUCCAAGUCUUCUAGCCUGCAGUGAUGACUUUGACCAUUUGGAUUUAAAUAAAGCUGCUUCAACUCCCAUAAUGAGACUAGGAAACCCUGUGAGAAAUUCCUUUUCCAUCUCAAUAUUUCAGGGGAUCUUUGUGGGAUUAAAAUUCAUUAUUAUGUCCUCUUGUUCUACUUCUCUGUGUCUACUGAGCUCCCAACUUUUGAGCAUUCUGUUAUUUUGCUGCCUACCAUUAUCCCAUACUGGAUACUGUCCAGAUCGUUUCACCUUCCAAAGGACCAUUCUCACAAGACUGCAUGAUCAGGCAACUUUUACUGGUGUUUUGGGAGUAAUUCAAGAAUAAUUAUUUUAUAACUGCCAUGAUUGCCUUUGGCACAUCCCUGUCCCCUGCACACCUACAGAUGGCCAGCUCCACCCACAGAUGGCCGUGGCAUUCAGUUACUUUGCUGGGCAUUUCCCUCUCCCUCUCUUGCCUAGAUCCUUUAUUGUGUCCCUGCCCUUGAAACUUAAAUUUCUUACCUUCUCUGCUGAAUCAUUCAGUUCUCUUUGACUAACUUAUCUGAUUGAGAGACUGUGCCUGAGUGCUUCACCUUUCGUAUUUGGAAAACAGUUUUUCUAAACCCACAGCAUAUCAUAGGGAGAAAAACAUGUCAUUCUCCCAGGAGAUGGGGACUCUAGUCAGGUGCAGCUCAGGUGCACCUUUACAUGGCAGUUUUUGCCUUCUUGGCUACAGAUAUUCUCAUCUUUAUUUUUCUCUCUUCUCUCUCCCUUCUUUAUUCAUCUCUCUCUUUAUCAAACCACUCAUCCAUAUACACAGUAUAACUAUAUGUUUGAGUAAGGGCAAACUCACAUACACAUAACCCUUCCUUGACUGUUCCUGAGCUCGCUUCUCCAGAAAGCACAUAGGAAAAUAUGGUGUGGGCAAGUUAGGCUUCCUUGUAAAUGUGGGAAAAUUCUUGUAUGGGUUGCUUCCCACAUAUGCCCCUCUGGAUGAUAAAGUAGAUGGAUUCUAUGAAAAUUGUUUCAUUGCUGGGAAGCCAGUAAAUUUUCAGAAGCCUUCACAGGAUGAUAGAGUCUGGAGACAGAGCAACAGAGAGAACCCAAAACAGACAUCCCUUUACAACAUGACCACUUUACUUUUGCUUUGUUUACAUAUUCUAAGACUGUAAGCUUAUGUUUUUGUUAGCGAGCCAACUUAAUUUUUUAAUAGUCUUAUCAAAAUUUGAUUCUACAGCAUCCACUCAUUGGCUUUGGGUCUAUUCUCUGGAGUCUUACAAAAUAAGUUUAUUCAUUCUUUCAAAGAACAGCCUUUCAAAUAUUUGAAAACAAUUCUAAUUUCCCCAUAAAGUCAUCUCUUCUCAGGCUAAAUAUCUUUUGUUUCUUCAACAAUUCCUUCUAUUUUGUAUCUUCCAGACCCCUUACCUUCCCUAUUGUAUUACUUUGGAGUCAUUCCAUUUUGUCACUAUACACUCUCAAAAUGCCUUAUCUAGCAGAAUAACUUGUACAAAACAGAUGGAUAAAUGCCGAGAGAAUUUAAUUUAACCAAACAUCAUACUAUAUCCAGUGCUGGGUCCAUCUUUCAUCUGGACAUUACACUUUUAUUAAUACAACAUAAGAUUGCAUUAGCUUUAUUAUAAAUCACAUUGACUUAUAAUGUAAUAUCUCCUGACAUUUUUCUUAUAAUCUUACAUUCCUUCGUUUGCAUUUGGUUAUCUGAUUUCCUGAAUCUAAAUGCAAAAAUUUAAGUUUAUGCUUAUAUAUUUCAUUUUGUUGGCUUUAUCCCAUCUUUUCACCCUUUCAAAACCUCAGAAUUUCAAUCUCAUUAUCAAAAAUAUCAGCUUUUCCAACAUUAAUUGAGUCAUAUAUAAAUGCAUUGGGUUUAGGUUUACCUUUUGUCUCUAUCCAAGGGUUUGAUUGUUAAGGUAAAAGUUCAUUGCAGUUAUGGACUUGUUACUCUUUCUUUGCUUCUGGCUCUGGCUGGCAUUUUAGGACCACAUGCCUUUUGGGAAGAUUGCAGGAUAUGUAUCAGAUCUGAUCAUACACAAGCAUCGUCAGCCACCAUGUGGCAUCCGUGGAGUUGUCCUCCCAGCUUCCCACCUCUGUGUGUCUUUUAAGCAUCCACAUACACAGAUUCUCACUUCUUCUGUCACUCAGUACCCCGAAGAGCACGGCCACUGCCAUCUGUUUCCAGGCACCAGGCCUGGAUGUUGCUGUGGUUGAAGCCUAUAAUUUUCCCAUGCUGUGGUCUCUCCCAGGCUCUCCUGCUACUGCUAUUUCCCUGAAUCACCCAGGGUGCCAAAGCUCUGAGUGUUCAGCAGCAAAGUAGAGGGAGAAUAUCGGCUUCUAAUUUGAGUGUUUUGUGUACCCUCUCAUUUGACAAUAUUUUUGUAAAAAUUGCUUGUAUUAGUUUUUGUUUUUCAUUGUGAUAAUGCUGUCCCACAGACAAUACCAACAUAUGUGUGUUUUACAAAAAUCAGCAUUUAAUUUUGACGAUGGAUUUAUGGAUUGGCUAUGGCUCUGCUGGACUCGGGUGGAUGGACUGAGCUUGUAGGCUGCAGGUUGCAUUCAGAUUAAUCCAUAAAUCAUCUACUUCGGCUUCAACAGUUACUUGGGGAGCACCUGUGGGCAUCUUUCCUCAACGCCCGGACUACAAAUCUCUAACACGAGUUGUUGGCUGAGGACAGAUUCUCAUGGCCGGAAACCACCACUUCCCUUGGACAUGCAUGCGUUGGCUGGGUACUGGGAGCCAUAAUUCGUUUCCUCUUAGAGAAAUGUCUGCUACAGAGACAAACUGAAGUUUGUGUAUAUCGUGCUGAUUCAGAAGAGAAUGAAGGCAUUUGUCAAGAGAUAAUGUCAGACUAAUCAGACAUGUUCCAAUCGAUUAAUGCAUUUGGAGGAUUUCCAAAUAUUUGCUGAUCUAAGGACGGUGAGGUAUAUGAUGGGAAACAAAUCUGAGAAAAGAAGGAUGGUAGAUGCUUUCCCAUUGUGACCUGUGAUCAUUUUGGUAAGAACACUUUACUCAAUUAAGAGGCGAUCAAGUGAUUCCAGGCCUGCUGCUAAAUAAUUAUGAGAUGAUAUUUGGAAAUAUGUAUUUCUCCUUUACCUCCUGAAGCCACAGGUAUGUGCCUGAGGUUCUCAACAAAUGGCUGAUUAUCUCUCAGAAUAUUCAGUUGUCUGGUAGCUGGCACUAAUAGCUCAGAAUAAGCUAUAUUUAACUUCAGGAUCCAUCUGGACUCUUGGCCACUAGUGGUAGGUAAUACUAGUUGCCGAAUUCAGUUUCUCUGAGCCUGUGAAAACUGCCUGAUUUUAUUUCAAAUUCAUUUUGCAUCCUGUGGGAUGGAUUUGAGAUCAGGGCAAAAUAUUCAACCUUAUUUUUGUUAAUCUUGCCCCAAAUAUGAUCCAGAUUAACCUUUCUUAACACAAAUUUGCAUUUUUUACAAAUAUCAUUUUUAGUGAAAUUAAAAUCUAUGAUUAUUAACGUUAAUAUUGUGCAAGUAGCAUUUGUAAUAUAAAGUUUUCAAAAAAGGAAGAUAAUUUUAUUUACUGGAGACUUAUUUUGCCAUUUUCAACUUGGAAGCCCAGGACUCAAACAAAAGUAUUGUUUGAAAACUGUUGGGGUUGAUUAUUACUUAUGCCGGAAGUUUCAAAAAAAAUUUUUAGAAAAAAAGAAAGCUGUCUUGUUCUAAUAAUUUGAAAUUUUAACAGUUAAAUUAUUGCUAAAUUUGCAUAAGAUUUGCUCUGUAAGACAAUACUUUUUAUAAUUGUUAACAUGUAGUUGUUUUACUUAUUUGUGCAUACUAGGUUAAUAUAUACAUAGUCAUAUUAAUAUAUGUUUGUAUGUAUACAUACUUAAAUAUAAAUUUUAUUUUUUAAAUGCACGAUUUAAGAUUUUGUCAUAAAUUGUUAUAAAUUGUUUUGUGGAGUUUAUGCAUUUUGUAAAUUUGAUGGUGGCAGAUGGUGUACAUGUGAGUUAAUUGAAUAGAUCUUUCAUAGUCUGGCACUUUUUAUGCUUUUAGAAUUUGGAGAAGUUAGUCUUUACUGAUGAAUAGAGAGCUAUCGUACUUUAGAAACUAUUGAGCAAACAUAAAAUUUUAAGAACAACUUAUUUUUAUCCUAUGGAUUUUCCUAUUAUAUUUAAACUUGCUCUUUUAGUUUGUUUUUAGAGCUCUCCUCAAGAAACAUACUCUUUGUUUUUAACGCUCAAUCCUUUUUUAUUCUUUGUAGAAACUAGUGGUCUCCUAUUAAGUAAAUAGAUGUGGGUCUCAUUAGAGGGAUCCAUUCUAAAACAGAAGAGGACAACACUCAGGGAGGGCUGCAAUGAGACAGAGAAUCCUGAGAUUGUUCCUCAUGUGCAGAUCUUCACCUGGGGCUGCAGAAGACUGUACAGCUAUAGACAAAAUAAUGAUAAGGUACAGAUGUCGUGGAAAGCCAGAACAUAGGAGUGAAUCCAUCCUACAGUCUGAAGGCGGAAACAAAGCCAUAAAUGGGGUUGGGGGAGAAACCCUGUGGUAAGAAUCUGUAGAGAUGAGGAAAAAAUUGUAGGAUUUAAGGUAGGUUAGGAACUGGCAGUUCAGAGCAAUGCCAGGGUAUUAGAAACUCACUCUCGUGUCAUCUAAGUUUCCCAAUAUAGGAUUGAGUGGACCUCAUCAUAUUAGCCACAUUCAAGGAAUAUAUGUAUGUUAUAGAAGUCAAUGGUUACAUUAAAAUAUUAAGUUUGAACACAAGUUCUAAUUUAUUUUUAUCAUUAUUUCUUAAUAGCAAUUAAUUCUUUGGGGCUUCAAUUACUGACUGUAUUCCAAACGGUUACCAACAGUUCACUUCUUUUAUUGCAGAACUUACACCAUUUCCAAAUAACCAAUGUAAAUUUUUACCUCGGAUAUUAUUUUGUUACCCGCAAACAACAAAUGUGAAUUUAGAUUUAUCAUCUUCGUCGGGGACUGAAUUUCCCCUGUAAUAUUGUUUUUUGUUGAUUUGUUUGUUUUGUAGUGGCAUCCCCUGCCCCUAUGUACCUAUGUUUGAUUUAUCUUUUAUUUCCUUCUUUUAUACUUAAACCUUAAGGUGGAUUGGAAAGUUGAUAUCAGUGACACAAAGUUUAGUUGAUUGGGUACUUUACAUUUCUACUUGACUUUGUACAUUUCUGAUUUAUAUGAACAACAAGCAACUCAGACUAAGCCUCCUUCAUUGCCCUAAGAGGUCUACUAUAUUUCUAGUGAUUUUACCUAGGGGAUCUAUACAUGUACUAACAGUAGAAAUUAGAGGUGCAACACUACUGGCCAGAAUAUAGCAACAUCCUAAGUACAUUAAUAAUGUGUAAAGUGCCCAGCAUGUAAGGCACAAAUAAAAAUAGGGAAUGUCAUUUUAUUAAAUUAUCAGAAGUUAUGGGUCACAUUCAAACAGAAAUAUUCUAAGAAAUUCAAUUCUAAGAAAUUCAACUUACUUUUAAUGUCAAUGUUUCUGAAAUUGGUAAACAUCAUUGACGUCAAAAAGCCUUCUAUGCAUGAAAUAAAUUAUACUUGUCAUUUCUGAGCUUAUGGUAACAUGGUCAAGAAUUAAAGGUAUAUUCAUCUGACUUCUGUUUCAUCAGGCUGCUAUUUGAGAAGGGUUAUUUGCCUUAGUACCAUCAGCAGUGGUUGAAUUUUAUAUUUGGUUCUGCAUUUGUCAUUUAAAAUGUCCACAAAAAGAUAACCCCCUUAAGGAGCAUUAGAACUAGAAGUUACUGUGAACCUAGACGAUCGCCUGUUUUUUGCCAUCUAGCAUAAUGAAGGUCGUAGUAUUGCCAAAGUUUUUCGAAUUCACUGUAGUUUUUUCAAAACUAGAUAAAAACUCUGACCAAUUUUUGAGUCCUGGGGGACUAUCACUUCAGCCAUAAACACAAACAAGUUAACUAGAAUUUAACGAAAUAGUAAAUGGAGAAAAAAAUUCUAGAAUUACCUGAUUUGUUUCUAAAUUAUACUGUUGCUCCUAAAAAUGUUAAGAAAUUAGGGUCGUGAGCACUGUUGGUCACUAUGAUGAUAUGCUUACCCACUGAUGGUCAAAAUUUAUCAGAAGAAUUUUUAGAUUUGGACUAUGUCAUGGCUUAGAUGCUGAUACUGAUGAAUAAAGUGACAUGCAAUUUUAUGGAUAAAUGAAUGUUACUGUUAAGUAGUUUUUAAAUAUGUACAUUUUAAUAUAAUGUAUUUCCUCAAAAUGCUAUUCUCAAUUUGAUGAUAUGCCUUGAAAAUCAAUACUGUUUUAGGAAGAAGGAAAUGUGGUAAAUUAAUGGUGUCAUUAGAAGAACGGAGGUUGCCAUAGAACCUCAUUUGCUUUACUCUUAGGAUGUAACUUUUAAAUUUAUUCUUAUUUGAAUUUUCUUAUCUUCCAUACUGAACAGGAAGCUUAUUGAAUGAACAAACCAUGAGUACAAUUAGCAUAUACCUAAAUUGAUUUGCAGUGAAAAGGUGCUUCAUAAAUUCUUGUUUGCCUGAAGAAAUUAGGAGGCAAAGGAGCAUCAAAACAAAAGGGAAAAUAAGAAUUAAAGUGAGAUGCUGUAUCAGAGGCCAAGUAAAGAUGCUGGUCUGCCUAAUCUGACUUUCUGACACUGAGAGGCAAACCUCCAAAAUUUCCACCUAUCUACAUACAUUCAUUCACUCACUCACCCAGUCUCUAUACAUUAGGAAGUCAUUGCUUUAUGUUAACCCUUGGUUUUGAAAAAGAAUGCAAAAUUAAAUGAAGAAUAAACUCUGUUUAAAAGGGAGGGUUUGUUUGACAGGCAUAUGUAUAAACACUGGAAAUUAUGAGAGUACAGAGGGUUUCCAAUUUUCCACAUACAGAAAGAGUACUAAAAAAUGGUGGUGUGUUCAGAGUAAUGGCAAACUUAAUUUAAUUUCAUGCCUUCAAGCAAUAUUACUUUAUUUAUUGAGAAUUUUAACACAAAGCAAUCAUUUGUAUAUCACGGAUACCCAGAAAGAAUAAAUAUUGUGGUUCUAAUUCCUACACUUUGAUUUAUUAGUCUUUAGUUUAUUUGAAUGUCAUGUCACAGAGUACAGCUAAUAAAAGCAUGAACAUUUGUCUUUGAGCAAGUUUGAUCUGAGGUGAGUAACAUUAAACAAUAGCCUAUUGACAAGCAAUUAAACACCACUUCUUUUCUUAGGAGUGUUUUGAAUUACAUUUGUUCUAACUAGUGGCAGCAUCUUUUGUGUUUAGAAUUCCAAUAUAAUCUUAGAUGAGAAGAAUCUUUUAAUUAGAUUUUCAAUAGAAUCGGCCAAGACCCACUGCUCACCAUCUUGACUCUUUGUCUUCAUUGAUUUGGACCAAAACAAAACAAAGAUAAAUAGCAAAAUUCAUUAUCAAUGUUUAUUUCAACUGUCUAUUGUCAUUUCCUCAGGGUAUACAACACAGUUUUCCGCAGACAGAAUGCUGUGUUUCUUACUUUUAGCUUUAGAGCUGUAUAUUCAACAAUUCUGUGUCAUGGAAGAACCUAGCUGAGGCAAAAAAAAGAAAAAGGUAAUUUUCUUCUUCCAUUUACACGUAAAAUGUUUAUUUGAAGAAUAAGAAAUAAGCAAAGAGACAGGAGAAGGAAAUUGUGUUUCUUUCAGCAAGUAAAAAGAAAGGCAAAACCCAAAAUAAAUAAUAUGUAAUUAUUUUUUAUCUGACUAUUUUUUGGCAUUUGUUUCUGCAUUUCUAAAUAAUGGAACUAUAAUACAUUUUCACUAUUGGUCAAUUUUAGGUAUCAUUUACUUACUACCUAUAAUAAAAGUUAAAAUUGUAGCUAUGAAAGGACCCCUUUAAUGCUAAAAAUAUCACAGGAAAUAUUUGCAUUACCUAAGUCAAUACGUAAGUCAGCCAGGAAGAACAUUUACAAGACAAAGUUGAUCAUGAUACUCUCUUGUAAGUGAAGAUGCUAUUAUUUUAUAACCUAGAUGUGAGGAUCUGAAAGUUGUUAAAUAAAGGCUCCAUAUGAGCUCUUGUACUCUGUAAAAUGUCCUCUUAAGUUAGCUUUAGCUAAACUAACAUACUGCCAGGGAACAGUGUUAAUGUGUUUAAUUACCAAGCUCUUUCCAAGAAAGCCUUGUCACUUGUUCACUGGUCUUAUUGCCACUUUCUGUCUUCACUCUACUUCUACCUUUCCACAAACACAUCAGUACAGAUAUUUGCAUGUUUUGCACUUCUCCACAGUUUGUACUAGUUUCUAGAAGAAAUUUUUUACUGUCAAUUAAGGCAAUGCUUUAUUCACAUGUGGCUGCCACUAGAGAAAUGUCUUAAAUUAACAAAGAAAUAAAUCCAUUAAAAAAAAUGUUUCUCUGUUGCCUGUGCCUUUUGUGAAACCCCAAUUCACAUGCUCACUAACUUUUAAAAUCAUAUAAAAUUUUAAGAGCAAAAGAAUUUUAUUACAGUGUGAUGCAGGGUUAACCGUUUUGAAAUGAUACUUAUACUGCCUAAAUUAUACCUGGUCAUCCAAGUAGAAACUAACAAUGAUUGGGUAAUAAACAGAUGGAAACCAGGUUGCUAAGGAAAAGGAACAGGAAAUGAACUCCCUAAUUAGAUAACAAAGGUUUUGUCUACAUAAUGCCAAAAUAACUAAUUUAAUAUUUUGAAUCAGUUAGAUUGGGUUUUAUCAUGUAAGCAAAACAGAGAACUGAUUCCCUGAUGCUUUCGUUCUAUCUUCAGUUGUUUGUGGCAUUAUAGAGACAACACUUACGUAUGUUUCAAGCUACUUUACCUUUGUAUUUCAGGCCACAUUUCCUAGGGAGACUGUCUAAGGGAAAAUGAUUUUCUCUUUAGUUAUGAGACAAAGCCUAUACCUACAAAUUAGUUUGAUCACUUUGGUUGAGUUUACUAGUAAAGAGCCCUCCUAAAUAGUUUACAUGAUAUGUGUCUACACGUGUGUAUCUGAUUUGCCAAAAUUGAAAUAUUUUGUACAUGGCAAAUACGUUCUUUAAAUGUGUAAGCAAAUAGGUUUAUUUUAGUCAACAAUUGAUGACAGGAUAGAAAAAUAACCAGAAAUGUGGAUCCAGCUCUUAUCAUAGAAAAUUUGUACUCCUGUAGAUUCCAUGACAUCCUCACCUCCUGGUUUAUCUUUGACCUUUCUUUUGGAAUUUCUAAGGGUAGGCAUUGAAGUCUUCCAUUAGUCCUUGAAAACUCAGUCAUUACUCCUUUAAGUAUUGUCUCCCCUUUAUUAUCUCUCUCUCUCUCUCCUUCUGGGACUCCGAUUAGUUACAUACUAGGCCUCCCGACAUGUUCUCCCAGUCUCUUAGCCUCUUUCUCAUAUUUUCUAUCUCCUUAUCCCUCUAUGCUACAUUCUGAUUAAUUUCCUCAGAUGUAUCUUCGAGGUAAUUAGUUUUUUUUUCAUCCAUAUUGGUUGAAUCUACCAUUAAAUCUAUUUAUUCAGGAUUAUUUAUAAUUUUUAGUUUUUAUUUUUAUCUAAUUAAUAAGUGUGAAUUAAAAAAUCAAAUGAUUCUACAAACUAUGCAAUUCUUAGAACCUCUCUCCUUUUAUUUCUUCAUCCUGAGAAAUAAUUUUUUUGUUCUUUUAUCUGAUUAUUUUGGCGUUUGUCUCAGCAUUUCUAAAUAAUAGGACUAUAAUACAUUUUUAUUAUUGGUCAGUUUUAGGUAUCAUUUACUGACUUCCUAUAAUAACAGUUAAAAUUUAGUUAUUAAAGUAUCAUUUUAAUGUGGAAACUCAUAAACUUCAGUUGUGGGCACUAUUCUGAAAUUAUUUAAAUGAUUACUUCCUCUCAAUUUUCUCUGUUCUCUCUUUUUAGAACUUCCAUCUGGAAGUUAUAUCUCCAGCAUUCAUUUUCUAAUACUUUUUACACUUAUUAUUUUUUGCUUUACUUUCUGGAACAUUUUCUUGACUCUAUCUUUUAGCACUUCUCCAAAGUUUUUCAUUACUGCUAUUAUAUUUUUAAUUACUGAGAUCUUUUUAUUCCCUUAAGUAUUCCUUUUUAUAGCACUGUGUUCUUACUUUAUGGUUUGCCAUCUUUCCUUUUUUCUUUAAGGAUACUAAUUGUUGUAUUAAAGAGUUUUAUUUCCAUGUAUCCUCUCUACAGCCUGCAAAGCACUUGUUCUUAUACGUUUUCUUUCAUCUCUAUAUCUCUUGUUAGAGGUUUCCCCUAGAUGUGUGCUCAUUUGUUGUUGUCUGCACAUGAUUAAGAGUAGUGGAAUCCUCUGAGGCCUGUUGACAAUAAGCCUCAUUGUAGGAUGAUGUGGCUGGAGCUUUCAUUUGGCAAACUUCUGAUAUCAGAAUCUUAGGUCUUUCAUUUGAGGCUGUCAUAUUUCCACAUUUGUCUGGAGAGUAAAGACCUAAUUGACAGCAUUCUUAGAGCCAGUUAGGGUAAGAGAGGUAGAGUUUUUGGUGGGGGAGUUAGAAGGGGCUUCUUCACUUUGUUGCUUAUUUCCUUUGCUGUGCAGAAGCUUUUUAACUCAAUGCGAUCCCAUUUAUCCUUUUUUCUUUGGCUGCCUAUGCU
rnacentral:lncRNA from 1 species